rnacentral:rRNA from 1 species
GAUGAACGCUGGCGGCGUGCCUAAUACAUGCAAGUCGAGCGAACAGACGAGGAGCUUGCUCCUCUGACGUUAGCGGCGGACGGGUGAGUAACACGUGGAUAACCUACCUAUAAGACUGGGAUAACUUCGGGAAACCGGAGCUAAUACCGGAUAAUAUAUUGAACCGCAUGGUUCAAUAGUGAAAGACGGUUUUGCUGUCACUUAUAGAUGGAUCCGUGCCGCAUUAGCUAGUUGGUAAGGUAAUGGCUUACCAAGGCAACGAUGCGUAGCCGACCUGAGAGGGUGAUCGGCCACACUGGAACUGAGACACGGUCCAGACUCCUACGGGAGGCAGCAGUAGGGAAUCUUCCGCAAUGGGCGAAAGCCUGACGGAGCAACGCCGCGUGAGUGAUGAAGGUCUUCGGAUCGUAAAACUCUGUUAUUAGGGAAGAACAAAUGUGUAAGUAACUAUGCACGUCUUGACGGUACCUAAUCAGAAAGCCACGGCUAACUACGUG